rnacentral:tRNA from 1 species
AGUCCCGUGGUGUAGUGGCCAAUCAUAUGGGCCUUUGGACAGCCCACGACGGCGGUUCGAAUCCGCCCGGGACUA